AUACAAGAAGACGCAGGAAGUUUUACAUCAGACCACACCUGUUAAUAGAACAGCAAACUUUUAAAUUACACAGAGCUCUUCUUCUGAUGAAUCCUCUCUUCCCUCAUGCUCAGGUAUAUCUCUACCAACUGGGAAAGAGGCGGCUGUAAAAACGGUGACCCACUUAUAUUUAACAGGUGACCUGUUUCAUGGCAGAAAAUGACAAAAACAUCUGGAACUGAAGCCUCCUCCUCAAGACCAUCAUGCCACCCCCAUGUGAAGGAAUCUGCCCUUUUCAUUAAUCUGAAAUUUGAAAAAUUGGAAAACCCCA